rnacentral:rRNA from 1 species
UCCUACGGGAGGCAGCAGUAGGGAAUAUUGGACAAUGGGCGCAAGCCUGAUCCAGCCAUGCCGCGUGAGUAAAGAAGGCCCUCGGGUUGUAUAGCUCUUUUGUCCGGAAAGAAAAGCAUCCAGUUAAUACGUGGGUGUCCUGACGGUACCGGAAGAAUAAGCACCGGCUAACUUCGUGCCAACAGCCGCGGUAAUACGAAGGGUGCAA